GAUCCGUUAGGGUUCUACUCUUUUCUUCUUCUCUAACGCAGCACAACGAACGAGAGGCUGCAUCUGGACCCAAAACUUUUGUGUAACUAUUUGAAUGUGCAAGACAUGGAUAACAUACAAGAUAUCACACAACUGAUAUACACAUUCAAAGUUGAAGCUUUUCCUCAGGAAAUAAUACAUGAGAUCCUAUUUAGGCUACCAGUUAAAUCUUUGAUCAAUUGCACCUCAGUGUGCAAGCCAUGGAGGUCCAUGAUCAUGAACCAAAGUUUUAUCCAAACUCACUUCAGCCAUACAGUCGACUUUGCUAAUCAGAAGGACAUUGACCUCCUCCUAUUCCACAGAAUUUCUGGUAGUGGGCGCACCAUCUACUGCCACAACACAGUCAUUCACAAGGUAGAAGUCGAGGUUCACUCUUUGCAUUAUGAUAAUAAGGCUUUUGAUGUGCACUUCAAGAUAGAAUUUCCAAUUGCUCCAAAGAAAAAACUGCUCAAUCCACAUCUCCGUGUGGUCGGCACUUGUAACGGGCUAAUCUGCCUUGCGGAUGAUAUCUCCGCUUAUGGUUACAACUUCUUUUUAUGGAACCCAACCAUCAGAAAGUUAUUGACUCUUCCCAGGCCUGGUAUUACCUUUUGGACGCAUGGUGCAUACAAUGCUUCGAUUGGGUUCGGUUUUGAUGCUAUGACCAAUGACUAUAAGGUUGUGCGACUUGUGACUUUAAUGGAUGAAGUUGAGAGCCAACUCUAGCUGAGGUUUAUUCCCUAGCCACGGGCACAUGGAGUAGUCCUGCUUGUGUUUCUCCUACAUGUCAAAUAGAAAUGGCUGCAUCCAAUGCUUUUGUUAAUGGGGUUCUUCAUUGGCCUGUAGUCUCAAACAGCGAUCAUUGCUAUUUUAUACUGACAUUUUAUCUGGGAAAUGAGGUGUUCUGUAUGAUACCUAUGCCGAAGAUUAUCCAAUGGAACUUCAAUUUGGGAUUGCAAUUAUCUGUUUCAGAUGACAGAAAAUCUAUUGCUCUGUUCAUGAGGGAUAAGGGUCAUGAACAUCCUCAUGAAAAUUUCAUGAUAAAUAAUAGUCGUGAAGAUUCUGUUCUUGAUAUAUGGGUGAUGAAAGAGUAUGGUAGAAAGGAAUCAUGGACCAAAUUGAUUACUCUCGGUCCACAAGGUCCAGAAAGACAUUUACCCAGCGCCUUAUGUUUUAGGAAGAGUGGGGAACUGUUACUGCUCAGAGAGGAAUGGGGGCAGGAACUAGUAGUAUCACUAGACCUUGUGAGCACAGAGUUUAAAAAUCUUGGGAUUUCUGGAUAUAAAUAUUGCACUGUUGAUUUUUAUAAAGAGAGCCUCCUCUUACUCGACAAGACUGAUGCAGAGUCGUACUAAGAGAAAGAACAGGCUAAUCUGCCUUGCAGAUGAUAUCUCUGCUUAUGGUUACAACUUCUUUAUAUGGAACCCAACCAUUAGAAAGUUAGUGACUCUUCCCGGGUGGUGUUACCUUUUGGACGCAUGGUGCAUACAAUGCUUCUAUUGGAGUAGAGAAAUACUAACGUGACUUACAAGGAUCAACAAUAUGAGUUCGCUUGAUACUGGAUUAUGAAAAAUGCACCCGUCAUCUGACUUGUAAAAGCACAAUAAAAGCGGGCAUAAGUUUCCGUAAGAAAUUAAACAAAACAGACUUUCUUGUUGGUGGCCCAAAACAGUGGAGAUCCAUACUCAAGUGGGAUGUCAUUGAAGAAAUAUAUUUGCUUGAAUGCAUGUGCAAUGUGAAGAACAUUGAUGUCUUUGGGUGUUUUCUUAUAAAGAACAUAUGGUAAUUCCUCACCAUCUUUAAUCCUUCUAAACAAACCCGCAUUACCCGA